AGUGAACGCUGGCGGUCGGCCUAACACAUGCAAGUCGAACGGCAGCACAGUAAGAGCUUGCUCUUACGGGUGGCGAGUGGCGGACGGGUGAGGAAUACAUCGGAAUCUACUUUUUCGUGGGGGAUAACGUAGGGAAACUUACGCUAAUACCGCAUACGACCUACGGGUGAAAGCAGGGGAUCUUCGGACCUUGCGCGAUUGAAUGAGCCGAUGUCGGAUUAGCUAGUUGGCGGGGUAAAGGCCCACCAAGGCGACGAUCCGUAGCUGGUCUGAGAGGAUGAUCAGCCACACUGGAACUGAGACACGGUCCAGACUCCUACGGGAGGCAGCAGUGGGGAAUAUUGGACAAUGGGCGCAAGCCUGAUCCAGCCAUACCGCGUGGGUGAAGAAGGCCUUCGGGUUGUAAAGCCCUUUUGUUGGGAAAGAAAAGCAGCAUGUUAAUACCCCGCUGUUCUGACGGUACCCAAAGAAUAAGCACCGGCUAACUUCGUG
rnacentral:rRNA from 1 species